rnacentral:rRNA from 1 species
AUACGUAGGGUGCGAGCGUUGUCCGGAAUUAUUGGGCGUAAAGGGCUCGUAGGCGGUUUGUCGCGUCGGGAGUGAAAACACCGGGCUUAACUCGGUGCUUGCUUUCGAUACGGGCAGACUAGAGGUAUUCAGGGGAGAACGGAAUUCCUGGUGUAGCGGUGAAAUGCGCAGAUAUCAGGAGGAACACCGGUGGCGAAGGCGGUUCUCUGGGAAUAUCCUGACGCUGAGGAGCGAAAGUGUGGGGAGCGAACAGGAUUAGAUACCCUGGUAGUCCACACCGUAAACGUUGGGCGCUAGGUGUGGGGUCCAUUCCACGGAUUCCGUGCCGCAGCUAACGCAUUAAGCGCCCCGCCUGGGGAGUACGGCCGCAAGGCUAAA